rnacentral:rRNA from 1 species
AUUGAACGCUGGCGGCAGGCCUAGCACAUGCAAGUCGAACGGUAACAGGGAUCAGCUUGCUGAUUCGCUGACGAGUGGCGGACGGGUGAGUAAUGUCUGGGAAACUGCCUGAUGGAGGGGGAUAACUACUGGAAACGGUAGCUAAUACCGCAUAACGUCGCAAGACCAAAGAGGGGGACCUUCGGGCCUCUUGCCAUCGGAUGUGCCCAGAUGGGAUUAGCUAGUAGGUGGGGUAACGGCUCACCUAGGCGACGAUCCCUAGCUGGUCUGAGAGGAUGACCAGCCACACUGGAACUGAGACACGGUCCAGACUCCUACGGGAGGCAGCAGUGGGGAAUAUUGCACAAUGGGCGCAAGCCUGAUGCAGCCAUGCCGCGUAUGAAGAAGGCCUUCGGGUUGUAAAGUACUUUCAGCGGGGAGGAAGGGAGUAAAGUUAAUACCUUUGCUCAUUGACGUUACCCGCAGAAGAAGCACCGGCUAACUCCGUG